rnacentral:rRNA from 1 species
GACAGAGGGGGCAAGCGUUGCUCGGAAUCACUGGGCGUAAAGGGCGCGUAGGCGGGAUGGCAAGUCGGUCGUGAAAUCCUUCGGCUCAACCGAAGAACGUCGGCCGAUACUGCCGUUCUUGAGGGAUGCAGAGGAGAUUGGAAUUCCCGGUGUAGCGGUGAAAUGUGUAGAGAUCGGGAGGAACACCGGUGGCGAAGGCGGGUCUCUGGGCAGUUCCUGACGCUGAGGCGCGAAAGCGUGGGGAGCAAACGGG